rnacentral:rRNA from 1 species
UACGUAGGGUGCAAGCGUUAAUCGGAAUUACUGGGCGUAAAGCGCGCGCAGGCGGUUAUGCAAGACAGAUGUGAAAUCCCCGGGCUCAACCUGGGAACUGCAUUUGUGACUGCAUGGCUAGAGUACGGUAGAGGGGGAUGGAAUUCCGCGUGUAGCAGUGAAAUGCGUAGAUAUGCGGAGGAACACCGAUGGCGAAGGCAAUCCCCUGGACCUGUACUGACGCUCAUGCACGAAAGCGUGGGGAGCAAACAGG